UCUACACCCUGUCAAACAAGAAAGCUGAUUCCUAGGAGCGUGCAAGAAGUCUGCUGGAAGGUAAGAUUUCUGCACACCCAUCUUUUUCACUCUUUUUUUUCACUCUUUCUGGACUUUUUGAGGGUGAGUCCCACGUCUGAAUCAUCUUCAUCUCUCUCCACUUUUGUCUCUCUCCAAUCACCUUUGUCGUAAUCACCUUUGUCCAAUCACCAAUGUGUCGCUGGGCACAUACAGGUGCUCAGUGAACGUUCCUUGAAUGGCUGUGUAUAGGAAUAGCCUGAAGUUCAUGGAAAUAGAAGUGGCUUUUCAAACUACCUCACCCUGAGUCCCUCCAGAAAAGACUUACCAAAUCUAAUUAAUUCAAUUAAUAAGCAGAAUUCUGCCAGGUACGAGGCAUUCGGAAAUACAAAUCUCAUGGUGAGAGAUGGAGGGGAAGCUCAUGAUGGGUGGAUGUACUUCAAAUUCAACAACCCGCAGUUACAGCUCCAUUUUCUGGGAAGCAAAACCACUCGGUGGCCCCAGGGCCCUUUAAAUUUUACCGUGACUGUUUUCUUAAGAAAUUCCUGGAGUAGAGCCUAAAUUUUAUGUAGGGGGUUGGCAUAUUCGUGGCCUAAGGGACGGUUGGCAGAAGGGGUGCCUAGAGUUCGCAAGGGAAGGAAACUGCUGAGGAGUCAGAGCAGCCCUGUGGAGGGUCGCUGAGUGGGGGACCCGAGAGUCCUUGAACUUCCAAAGCUUCGGGGAAUUCGAGGAAGGGACCCUGAGGGGUGGCCAAGGCUGCCAGAUGUCUGCUGGGUUUCAAUGCUGCCGACUUUUCUCCUCUGUCGGCCCAAGCUCGACCCGGGUUCAGCAGCCAGACCAGGGAACAGCCAGGGCAUCUGGGCAGGAGGGAGGCGGGCCGGCCUGGAGGAAGGAGUCCUGGGCCGCCGCCGCCGCCCCGCCCGUCGGGCUGUCCGCCCCGCCUACCCCGAGCGAGGCGGAGCCGGCCCCCGCCCGGAGGAGCAGCAGGAGGAGGAGAGGUCGGAGUCGUCUCCAGGAGCCCUUAGAGACAGAGUCCCCGGCAGCGGCGGUGGCGGCAGGGGCAGCGCACCGGCAGGCGAGUGAGCACCGAGCGGCGGGCGCAGAUUCAUUCCAUCACCUAAAACCUGGUGACGGUGGGCCAUAUAGAGUCUUGCUGGUGAAAACCAUUAACUGAAGAUGUCGAGCAAGACAGCCAGUACCAACAACAUUGCCCAGGCACGGAGGACUGUGCAGCAGUUGAGAAUGGAAGCCUCCAUUGAGAGAAUAAAGGUUUCAAAGGCAUCAGCAGACCUCAUGUCCUACUGUGAGGAACAUGCCAGGAAUGACCCUCUGCUGAUGGGGAUACCAACUUCAGAAAACCCCUUCAAGGAUAAGAAGACCUGCACCAUCUUAUAGAGAAGUAGUGAAGUGGAUCCUCCCCUCUUCUCAACAAAGCAAAUGAUGAGCAGCUCCUUGAAAAGAUUUACCUUCAGCUUAUUUGGUAACCACUGCUAAUAACUAAAAUGCUCUUAACUUGGAGUUAUGGACUCUGAAGUCUUUACCUUCCAAGUUUUUCUUUCCUUUUACUGAAUUAAUACAGAAUAAUAAUCUUGUUUCCCAUUUGUUAACUAUGGUGUCCUAUUAGUUACUGCUGAAGGAAAAGUUGGUCUGGCCUUUAUAAAGAAAACAAAUAUAUCAGUGAUCCAGUUAAAACCUAAAUUACCUAAGCAGUCGUCUAGAUUAAAAUGCCAAGGAUAACUGGUCCUAAAAUUUUUGUCGUAGUCUAUUCUUAAGAGUUGUGCCAAUCUGUAUAGUAUAUGUGGAUGAGAAAUGUUUUGUGUAUAUAUAUGUGUGUGUUUGUAUAUACACAUCUCAAAGCUUAUUUCCCAAUUAAAAUGUCUCUCCCUCCAUACUAUCAGUUCGACUCAAGAAGUUAUACCUUUAUCUCAAGCUGUGUGUAGGUAGAAUUAAAUUCUUUUCUUGUCGUUAUUGUACAAAAAGAACACCCUACAGCCUAUAUUCAUCGUAGUUGAGUAAUGAAGUCAUCUCUCUCCUCUUGAAACCGUGCUGACCUGCCAAUCAAAAUUUUUAAACUGAACUAAAAGCCCUUUUAUAAUAUGAGCAUUCUUUCACCAAGGGAUUUCAGGUUUCAGCAAUCCUGAAUCUAUGUAGGAAAUGGGAGGCAGCCCUUGGGGGCACCCUAGGCAGCUGUGCCCCAGGGCUCAUGGUCUCUGAACCAGGGGUAGACACCUGAAAUUCCUACUGUAACGAUGGGAACUAGACAGAGCGGCCAUGAGCCCGGCCAAGAGAAGAGCAGGAAUGCGUGAAAACCAGCUGCUCUUUGUGGCCUAACUUUGUGAUUUAGCUCACUUUCUCUGCCUUCCCUCUUAUCUUUCCUCUGCAGCCAGAUCAUGUCUUCAGAAUUAAUGUCCACCUCCCCAUCCCCAAAUGGGUAGAUCAUGGUGGGAAAGAAAUAUACAAAGAAUGUAAAGGUAUCGGACACAUAAGCUCUUUUCAAGUAUCUGCAGCAUCUGCAUCAUCCCUGCCUGGUCCUCACACCAUCAGAGGGGCUUGUUUCACUACUUGGGCUCACAGUUCCUUGAUUUUCCUCUGGGCCUGGAUAUUACUGCCACACACACCCAGAAUGGCUAGUGGGGAUCCCCAAAGAAGGUUGUCUCCUGUGGCAGAGGGCAUACUGUUAACUAAGAGGAGGAGAGGGUAUUCCUAAACACUUAUUUAUGGGCCCAAACCAUGCACCAGGCCUUUGAUAUUUUAAUUCAAAUUCCAUUCAUUAAAAAUUACUAAUGAAAAGUUAAAAGUAUUCUCAGAAAGGAUUCAACCCCAAGAAGGAAUUAUUUACAAUGGUUUUUCCCUAGUUCUGUACAAUCUUGCCCUGCAGUGCAAGCCUGUUUUUAAAUCUAACACCUAAGCUUUGAGUAUUAUGUUAAUUGUGGGUGAACAAAUACAGUACUGUUUUCAGACUGCUCAAAUCUAUUCCGUAUUUCUGCAAGUCACCUAUCUAGCAUUGUGAACUGCCCUCACUCCUCCAGGAUCAUGUGGAAAUCAUGCCACUGCCCUUACCUUCUUGUCAUCCACACUUGGUUCUGCAAAGGGCCCAGUUUCCAAGUAUAUUAUAGGCACCGUUGGUGGAGAAAGGUUUUUCCUUUCAAAAGGUGAAAUUUGAAAUAUACAUUAAGAAGACAACUUUACAUGUACUGCAUCACUUAAUGAGACAUUCUUUUUUUUUUAAUAGGUGUAUUUUUCUACUGAUAAGUUUCAGAACACUAAUCUUAUUUUCACUCUGAUUUUUACCAUGUUCCUUUGAAUAUUUAUAAUGUAGCUUGUUACAAAAUAUUUUCAUGAAAUUACUUUUAUUAUACUGUUAUAUACACAUUUUUGGUAGCAAGCAUAGUUUAUUCUUUCGUACUAAAACAUGUUCUUUUCCCUAUUAGAAAACAAGUAUGGUUUGCUAUAUAUUUGUUAAUAUGCUUGUAGUGGUAAGGAAUGGACUUGAGGUCCCAGGAGAUUUUUUUUAUUUUUGCUAGCCAGAUAUCAUAAAGGCUACAAGUAUGAACAUCAUAUAACUUCCUGACCAGGUGUAGGGCAUGUUUAAGAAAAGUGAUAUCAAGUCCUUUGAUGCUGGACCCAAGGGGGAAAAAUUGUAGCUAAGUGUUGAUUUACUUAUUAUGAGACGUCUAUGUGAGAAAAAUAUAAUAUAUGUAUACAUAUAUAUGAUAUGCAGAAGUCACUUUUAUUUAUCAGGCUUUAUUCUACUAGUAAAGCCACAGUUUAACUAUUAGACAGCAGCUGGUUAUAAUGAUGGACAAAUGCCCAAUGUGUUUUAUUUUUUCCAAACUACCACUAUAAUGACACAAUCACUUAAGUACAUGCAACUUCCUGGCUUCAUAUCUAUGAGGCUAUUUAAAUAUGUUCACUAUACUUUGUCUUUAAUUCUGCCUCUAUUAACAGUGAUCUCUUUUUCCAUUCUUGAUUCUUCUUUAGUUCAUCAUUAAUCUGUCCAAUUGACGCCUCAGGACCAUGGCAAGAAUUUCAUGACUCCAAAGUAUUUUACAGACACACACUUUUUUUUUUUUUUUUUAACAGAGAGAAACACUUUCUAUACCAUGUGGUUCACAAGCUGUAGGUUUUUUCUAAAAAGAAUCAGGUUUUUACAUUUCCUUAUUAUUAAAAUAAAAAGUGCCAUACUUACCCCUUAAAGCAAAGACCUAAUUUGCUUUCUCUCUAUUGGGACUAUUUUUGUACUUUACUAAUCUUUUAACUAUCCAAAAAAAAAUUAUACCAAUGAUUUAGUAAUUUUGAGGCAUAAGUUAGUUUAGGUAGUGGAAGAUGUGCCAAACUUUCCCUCCAGAUGCCUUUGUCUCAAUUUGCAACUAAGGUAGCGUCAUCUGAGUGAUUACACUGAAUUUUACUAAGAAGUGAAUCACAGUACAUGUCAGUCCUUUCUCAAUAAAUGUAAUACCAGAGUGUGUUAUGACUGUAGACUUUUUAUGGUAGAUCUGUUAAUAGAAAAAAAAAAUAUAUUGAAUUAAGUAGAGUUAUCUGUAUGUUAAAAUAGAGCACUUACCUAGAGCUGGGUGUCCUGGAUCGCUGUCUAGCCAAUCCUGUGUUCCUGUGUUGUGUGACUUUGGACAAGGCACUCCAUCUCUCUGAGCCUCCAUUUCACCAUCUGUAAAAUAAGGGGCUUGAAGUAGCUGAUGGCUGAUACCCUCCUGUUCCGUCCAGUGGCCUACCCCUCUACUGGUCCUGCCAACAUGUUGGUGCUAUACGCUGCUUCAAAUAUAAAAUUGGUUUGUCUAUUGUGUGUGCUCAUUUAAUAGCUUAUGAAAGGCCUUUUUGUUAUAUGGCUUUUUUUUUCUAGUUUUAUGAACUUGAUUACUGUAAUAAAGUCUUGUUUGUAGCCAUGUAACUAUAAACAUAGUCUCUUGAUGUCAGUAAAUUUGCAUUUGAUAUAUUAGUUGAUGGAAUUGUUGUUUUAGGACAUUCUUUGACUACUUAUCUGUCCAGCAUCUUAUUAACCUAAAUAUUGUGAUCGUUGUUUGGAAAUCUGUUCUCUGGAAAGAAUAAAAGCAUUUACUUCACAGCUAAUGUGUUUGCAGAUUUGAAAAACAGUUUCAUUAAAGCACCAUUGCUCUCUUU
rnacentral:lncRNA from 1 species